rnacentral:rRNA from 1 species
AGUCGAGCGGGGUGGUAGCAAUACCACCUAGUGGCGAACGGGUGCGUAACACGUGGGAAUCUACCCAAAUGUGGGGAAUAGCUCUCCGAAAGGAGGAUUAAUACCGCAUGUGCCCUACGGGGCAAAGCCGGGGAUCUUCGGACCUGGCGCAUUUGGAUGAGCCCGCGUCCUAUCAGCUAGUUGGCGGGGUAAUGGCCCACCAAGGCUUUGACGGGUAGCUGGUCUGAGAGGACGACCAGCCACACUGGGACUGAGACACGGCCCAGACACCUACGGGUGGCAGCAGUCGAGAAUUUUUCACAAUGGGGGAAACCCUGAUGGAGCGACGCCGCGUGGAGGAUGAAGGCCCUCGGGUCGUAAACUCCUGUCACCACAGAAAAAGGUUUGCGGAUUAAUACCCCUGCAAAUUUGAUUGUAUGUGGAGAGGAAGGACCGGCUAACUCUGUGCCAGCAGCCGCGGUAAUACAGAGGGGGUCCAAGCGUUGUUCGGAUUUACUGGGCGUAAAGGGUGUGUAGGCGGCCUUGAAAGUCAGAUGUGAAAUGCCACCGCUCAACGGUGGAAUGGCAUUUGAUACUACUUGGCUAGAGGACCGGAUAGGAGAGCGGAAUUCCUGGUGUAGCGGUGAAAUGCGUAGAUAUCAGGAGGAACACCGACGGCGAAAGCAGCUCUCUGGAAGGAUUCUGACGCUGAGACACGAAGGCCAGGGUAGCGAACGGGAUUAGAUACCCCGGUAGUCCUGGCAGUAAACGUUGUGCAUUAGGUGUUGGUGGAUUCGACCCCAUCAGUGCCGUCGCUAACGCAUUAAAUGCACCGCCUGGGGAGUACGGUCGCAAGAUUAAAACUCAAAGAAAUUGACGGGGGCCCGCACAAGCGGUGGAGUAUGUGGCUUAAUUCGAUGCAACGCGAAGAACCUUACCUGGGCUUGACAUGCUUGGUUCAUCCGUGGAAACACGGUGUCCCGCAAGGGAGACUUGCACAGGUGCUGCAUGGCUGUCGUCAGCUCGUGUCGUGAGAUGUUGGGUUAAGUCCCGCAACGAGCGCAACCCCUGCGACUAGUUAUACGCUUCGGCUCACUAGUCGGACUGCCCUGUUCAACGGGGAGGAAGGUGGGGAUGACGUCAAGUCAGUAUGGCCCUUAUGCCCAGGGCUGCACACGUACUACAAUGCACACUACAGAGGGACGCAAGACCGCGAGGUGGAGCCAAUCUCAGAAAAGUGUGCUCAGUUCGGAUUGGAGGCUGCAACUCGCCUCCAUGAAGUUGGAAUCGCUAGUAAUGGCGCAUCAGCUACGGCGCCGUGAAUACGUUCCCGGGCCUUGUACACACUGCCCGUCACAUCAUGAAAGCCGGUUAUACCCGAAGUCACUGAAUUUAACUCCGGGGAGCAGGUGCCUAAGGU